CGUUAGCACGGUCCCUUCAAGUUAAAAUUGGAACGAUACAGAAAGUAUUAGUAUGACAUUUGUAAAAAUAUGACAAAUAGAAACCAAGAAAUGUUCAAUUUAUUU